rnacentral:rRNA from 1 species
AUUGAACGCUAGCGGGAUGCUUUACACAUGCAAGUCGAACGGCAGCGCGGACUUCGGUCUGGCGGCGAGUGGCGGACGGGUGAGUAAUGUAUCGGAACGUGCCCAGUAGCGGGGGAUAACUACGCGAAAGCGUAGCUAAUACCGCAUACGCCCUACGGGGGAAAGCAGGGGAUCGUAAGACCUUGCACUAUUGGAGCGGCCGAUAUCGGAUUAGCUAGUUGGUGAGGUAACGGCUCACCAAGGCGACGAUCCGUAGCUGGUUUGAGAGGACGACCAGCCACACUGGGACUGAGACACGGCCCAGACUCCUACGGGAGGCAGCAGUGGGGAAUUUUGGACAAAGGGGGCAACCCUGAUCCAGCCAUCCCGCGUGUGCGAUGAAGGCCUUCGGGUUGGAAAGCACUUUUGGCAGGAAAGAAACGUCGCGGGCUAAUACCCCGUGGAACUGACGGUACCUGCAGAAUAAGCACCGGCUAACUACGUG